rnacentral:rRNA from 1 species
GAUGAACGCUGGCGGCGUGCCUAAUACAUGCAAGUCGAGCGAACAGACGAGGAGCUUGCUCCUCUGACGUUAGCGGCGGACGGGUGAGUAACACGUGGAUAACCUACCUAUAAGACUGGGAUAACUUCGGGAAACCGGAGCUAAUACCGGAUAAUAUAUUGAACCGCAUGGUUCAAUAGUGAAAGACGGUUUUGCUGUCACUUAUAGAUGGAUCCGCGCCGCAUUAGCUAGUUGGUAAGGUAACGGCUUACCAAGGCAACGAUGCGUAGCCGACCGUAGAGGGUGAUCGGCCACACUGGAACUGAGACACGGACCAGACUCCUACGGGAGGCAGCAGUAGGGAAUCUUCCGCAAUGGGCGAAAGCCUGACGGAGCAACGCCGCGUAAGUGAUGAAGGUCUUCGGAUCGUAAAACUCUGUUAUUAGGGAAGAACAAAUGUGUAAGUAACUAUGCACGUCUUGACGGUACCUAAUCAGAAAGCCACGGCUAACUACGUG